GCACAAGGGGGCCCUGGGGUAGUGGCUAACCUGCCACUUUCCCAUCGGGAAAAAGGUGGCGACGCGGGUUCGAUUCCCGCCUUGUGUA